CCUACGGGUGGCAGCAGUGGGGAAUAUUGGACAAUGGGCGAAAGCCUGAUCCAGCGACGCCGCGUGAGUGAUGAAGGCCUUCGGGUUGUAAAGCUCUGUCGGGAGGGAAGAACGAGCGACCGGCUAAUACCCGGCCGCAGUGACGGUACCUCCGAAGGAAGCACCGGCUAACUCUGUGCCAGCAGCCGCGGUAAUACAGAGGGUGCAAGCGUUGCUCGGAAUUACUGGGCGUAAAGCGUGAGUAGGCGGUCUGUUAAGUGGGGUGUGAAAGCCCUGGGCUCAACCCAGGAACUGCGCUCCAAACUGAUAGACUUGAAUGCCGGAGAGGGUGGUGGAAUUCCCGGUGUAGAGGUGAAAUUCGUAGAUAUCGGGAGGAACACCAGUGGCGAAGGCGGCCACCUGGACGGACAUUGACGCUGAGUCACGAAAGCGUGGGGAGCAAACAGGAUUAGAUACCCCGGUAGUC
rnacentral:rRNA from 1 species